rnacentral:tRNA from 1 species
GGGCCAGUGGCACAACGGGUAAUGUAUCUGACCACCAAUCAGAAGAUUUCCAAGUUCAACUCCUGGGUGGCUCA